rfam:Myotis lucifugus cont2.36855, whole genome shotgun sequence.
GGCGGUUCUUGGGUGAUGCACCCCGGAAUCAGGCUCCCUCCUCUCUGGUUCUGGGUGCGUCACCCGAGCACCACC